rnacentral:rRNA from 1 species
GAUGAACGCUGGCGGCGUGCCUAAUACAUGCAAGUCGAGCGAACGGACGAGAAGCUUGCUUCUCUGUUGUUAGCGGCGGACGGGUGAGUAACACGUGGAUAACCUACCUAUAAGACUGGGAUAACUUCGGGAAACCGGCGCUAAUACCGGAUAAUACUUUGAACCGCAUGGUUCAAAAGUAAAAGACGGUCUUGCUGUCCCUUAUAGAUGGAUCCCCGCUGCAUUAGCUAGUUGGUAAGGUAACGGCUUACCAAGGCAACGAUGCAUAGCCGACCUGAGAGGGUGAUCGGCCCCACUGGAACUGGGACACGGUCCAGACUCCUACGGGAGGCAGCAGUAGGGAAUCUUCCGCAAUGGGCGAAAGCCUGACGGAGCAACGCCCCGUGAGUGAUGAAGGUCUUCGGAUCGUAAAACUCUGUUAUUAGGGAAGAACAUAUGUGUAAGUAACUGUGCACAUCUUGACGGUACCUAAUCAGAAAGCCACGGCUAACUACGUG